GCCUCUGUGGUGUAGUGGUAGCACGCACACCCGAUUUGGGUGAAACACGGGUUCAACUCCCGUCUGACGUU